CCCAAAUCAAGCUGAAUUUGCAUGUCUCUACUUUCUGGUUUUACCUUAUUACCACAAAAUUAGACAACCUACAUCUGACCUUCAGCUGGUAAUGCCAUCCAUAAAGAUGCUUUUUAGAGGGAACAUGUCUGAGGUGGAUCCUGUUAAGAUUGAAGUUGAAAAAAAUCACACGAAUCAAAUUCAUUCUGAGCCUUCAGGGAUCGCAUACGAACUGCUACCAACGUGCUGGGUGGCUGCAUCAGUGUAGAUGUGGUGCAGCAUCUGUCCA